CUUUCUUUCACCGAAUGCUUGCAUUCACCGAAAGAAGCUUAGUGGCGAACGGGUGAGUAACACGUAGGCAACCUGCCCAAAAGAGGGGGAUAACACUUGGAAACAGGUGCUAAUACCGCAUAACCAUGAACACCGCAUGAUGUUCAUGUAAAAGACGGCUUUUGCUGUCACUUUUGGAUGGGCCUGCGGCGUAUUAACUUGUUGGUGGGGUAACGGCCUACCAAGGUGAUGAUACGUAGCCGAACUGAGAGGUUGAUCGGCCACAUUGGGACUGAGACACGGCCCAAACUCCUACGGGAGGCAGCAGUAGGGAAUCUUCCACAAUGGACGAAAGUCUGAUGGAGCAACGCCGCGUGAAUGAAGAAGGCCUUCGGGUCGUAAAAUUCUGUUGUCAGAGAAGAACGUGCGUGAGAGUAACUGUUCACGUAUUGACGGUAUCUGACCAGAAAGCCACGGCUAACUACGUGCCAGCAGCCGCGGUAAUACGUAGGUGGCAAGCGUUGUCCGGAUUUAUUGGGCGUAGAGGGAACGCAGGCGGUCUUUUAAGUCUGAUGUGAAAGCCUUCGGCUUAACCGAAGUAGUGCAUUGGAAACUGGAAGACUUGAGUGCAGAAGAGGAGAGUGGAACUCCAUGUGUAGCGGUGAAAUGCGUAGAUAUAUGGG
rnacentral:rRNA from 1 species